rnacentral:rRNA from 1 species
CUCCUUCUGAAAGGAUAGAAGGUAGGCCCUGCCCAAUGCAUUGAGUAAAUGGCCGCAGUAAUUUGACUGUGCAAAGGUAGCAUAAUAACUUGGCUCUUAAUUGGAGUCUAGAAUGAAAGGGUUGACAGGCUUUCAGCUUUCUUCUUGAAAGCAUUCUUAAUUUUAGUUUCAGGUUAAAACUCCUGAAUGAGAGGGAGGGACGAUAAGACCCUAUAGAUCUGGCCCCCCUCUCCUUCUUGGAGGAGGAAGGGGGGGUUGUUUGGGAUGAAACGAAAUAGAUGUAAACAUUCGUUAACUGAAGUCUGAUAAGACGAAACACGAUCCCCCAGGGGGGAUCGAAAGGAUAGUUACCUUAGGGAUAACAGCGUAAUACUCACUGCUAGAACUCCCGGUUUAGUGCCUACGACCUCGAUGUUGA